GUGACAGAGAGGGAGGAGGGAAUUGUGGGAUAGAUGGGGAAGGAGGGCAGAAGCGCGGGGGGGCAUGAUGCGGCUCAGAUUCCAUCGUUACCAAGGAACAGCAACAAGAAGAACUGCGAUUGUGUCAGAACGAGUGUGUGUGUGAGGAGAGGAGCUGCAUGCAGACUCUAGUGUGUCAGACACAAAGAGAGCGUGAGAGGAACGGUUUAGCUGUUGGCGGAGCAGCACAGAGAUCAGUGGAGGUGUGUGUACAUGAGUGUGUGUGUGUGCUCGCGCUCCAAAUAACUGCUAUGAAAUAAUGAAGGCAUGAGCGACGGCAGGAGACCGCAGGGACAGAGCCGGUCCAGCGGUGUGGUCUGCUCGGCCCUGUGGUCAUGUACAGCACACGAAAGACCUGGGACGUCGGCCACACCCCCUGCCUGCAGGAGCUCUGGAACGAAGACCUCUCAUUGGAUGUUUCAGCAAGUUCCGUGGAUAUCCUGAUGAGUGAUGGUGAGGAGGAGAGCUCCUUCCUCUCGUUGCCUAACUCUGUCCUUCAGCGCCACUGUUUGACCUCUGACCUCUCUGAAGCGGCCACCUCAGAACAGCAGCAGCUGCUCAUACAGACACUGCAAGAGAGAGUCUGUGAGUUCCAGGCACGUUUGCGCAGUGAAGACUCUGCCAAAAGACUCCUGCUACAGCGACUGCAGACACACGACCACCAGCUCAACCAAGACAACCACCUGAACGAGGAACAUUCAUCCAUCAACCAAGAACCUCAAGAGCAGCUCAGACUGCAGGACAGCCAGCUCAACCAAGCUGUGUCACCUACAGGUGUGAGGAGCUCUAGUGUUUUGACACAGAGGCCUGUGAGUAAAGUUCACUCACAGGAGCAACUGCAAAAAGGCGAGGGAGAACAACUCACUCUUAUUACAGGGCUGCGCACACAGGUACGUCUCUCUCACACACACACACACACACACACACACACAGUUUUCCUGCCAGACUCACAAGAGCACCACCAGAUCAUUUACAUUCCUCAGCCACCAUAUACUGUAUUGUGACCUUUUAUGCAUUGAUAUUCAUUGUUUCUGUCUGGUUAGAUUAAAAUAGAUCGAUACAUCAUGAGGGUGGAUGCAUGAAACUCAUUUUUGUAAAGGGAUUUAGCUGAAUGCUGUUGGUUUGUGGUUUUGUAGGUCAGGGAGCUGGAGGAGAAACUAGUGGAUCAGACGCAGGAGGUGGAGAGACUGCGCUCUGAGCUGGUGAGACACUGAAUUAUUAGGGAUGGGGAGACUGUUGUAUGAAUCACUUGAUCCUGGUGGGCUAAAGUCACCACACUUGAGUGAACCACAUUUCUAUUGUUUAAUAAAGAGCUCAUGCUUUAUUACCCUGACCUGAUU
ensembl:lncRNA